rnacentral:rRNA from 1 species
GACGAACGCUGGCGGCGUGCCUAAUACAUGCAAGUCGAACGAACCGCGACUGAGUGCUUGCACUUGGUCAAGGUGAGUGGCGAACGGGUGAGAACACGUGGGUAACCUACCUCAUAGUGGGGGAUAACAGUCGGAAACGACUGCUAAUACCGCAUAGGACAUAGGAUCACAUGAUCCAGUGAGGAAAGGUGGCGCAAGCUAUCGCUAAGAGAUGGACCCGCGGUGCAUUAGCUAGUUGGUAGGGUAAAGGCCUACCAAGGCGAUGAUGCAUAGCCGACCUGAGAGGGUGAUCGGCCACAUUGGGACUGAGACACGGCCCAAACUCCUACGGGAGGCAGCAGUAGGGAAUCUUCCGCAAUGGACGCAAGUCUGACGGAGCAACGCCGCGUGAGUGAAGAAGGUCUUCGGAUCGUAAAGCUCUGUUGUUAGAGAAGAACAGCGCAUAGAGUAACUGCUAUGCGUGUGACGGUAGCUAACCAGAAAGCCACGGCUAACUACGUG